rnacentral:rRNA from 1 species
UACAGAGGUCCCAAGCGUUGUUCGGAUUUACUGGGCGUAAAGGGUGCGUAGGUGGCGAGGUAAGUUUGAUGUGAAAUCUCUGAGCUCAACUCGGAAAUGGCAUUGAAUACUAUCCCGCUUGAGGGUCGGAGGGGAGACUGGAAUUCUCGGUGUAGCAGUGAAAUGCGUAGAUAUCGAGAGGAACACCAGUGGCGAAGGCGAGUCUCUGGACGACUCCUGACACUGAGGCACGAAAGCUGGGGGAGCAAACAGG